rnacentral:rRNA from 1 species
UACGUAGGUGGCAAGCGUUGUCCGGAUUUACUGGGCGUAAAGAGCGCGCAGGCGGUCGUUCAAGUCGCGUGUGAAAGCCCCCCGGCUCAACCGGGGAGGGUCACGCGAUACUGAUCGACUCGAAGGCAGGAGAGGGUAGUGGAAUUCCCGGUGUAGUGGUGAAAUGCGUAGAUAUCGGGAGGAACACCAGUGGCGAAGGCGACUACCUGGCCUGUUCUUGACGCUGAGGCGCGAAAGCUAGGGGAGCAAACGGG